rnacentral:lncRNA from 1 species
AUAGCAUGUCCCAGAUUGGAGAAGCUUCUUUAAAUGAGAUCCUUGGAUAAAAGAUAUGCGGAGAACAGCUGAAACACCAAUAACACAAUAUGAGCGAGAAUAACUUUCUCCAGUUCAAAGCUGUUUCUGGGUCGUGGAGUAGGACAACUUGAGGAGCAGAGCUGAACACAAUAGAGCUGAGCAGGGCAGGACAGACCAGAACUGACCUACAGAAUUCUCUGGGCUAGAGGAACCCUCAGCUUUCGCAGCAAUUAGCCAAC